GUCGUUGUAGUAUAGUGGUGAGUAUUCCUGCUUGUUACACAAGUGACCUGGGUUCAAUCCCCGACAACGGCG